CCUACGGGUGGCAGCAGUGGGGAAUAUUGGACAAUGGGGGCAACCCUGAUCCAGCCAUGCCGCGUGUGUGAAGAAGGCCCUCGGGUUGUAAAGCACUUUCAGUGAGGAAGAACGCCUGGUGGUUAAUACCCAUCAGGAAAGACAUCACUCACAGAAGACGCACCGGCUAACUCCGUGCCAGCAGCCGCGGUAAUACGGAGGGUGCGAGCGUUAAUCGGAAUUACUGGGCGUAAAGCGCGCGUAGGUGGCUUGAUAAGCCGGUUGUGAAAGCCCCGGGCUCAACCUGGGACAGGCAUCCGGAACUGUCAAUCGAGAGUGCAGGAGAGGAAGGCACAAUUCCCGGUGUAGCGGUGAAAUGCGUAGAGAUCGGGAGGAAUACCAGUGGCGAAGGCGGCCUUCUGGACUGACACUGACACUGAGGUGCGAGAGCGUGGGUAGCAAACAGGAUUAGAGACCCGUGGAGUC
rnacentral:rRNA from 1 species